UCUUCUGGGCAAGACACAACUGUUGGCUGGGCUCCUAGGUACUCAUCCCACCAGCCCGACCCACACCUGGGCAAUAGGCUGCCAAUGAACUGCUCGUCCUGUGGGUGCCUUUGACAAUUAUUCCUAGCUGCGGAUAUGACUGGGCGCAUUUGUACAUUGUCAUGGGAUAGCUCCCUGUUCCAGUGUCUUAAACACGAAGCAGGAUGGAGCAGCCAUGGUAACUACACAUUCCACUUAGAAUGUGUUAGUCAUAAAACCCAAGAAUUAUGGGCAAAACAUCAAAGAGCUUAGAGACAAGGAGGCUUGGUUCUCCCUUAUCACCCCCAGAAACAGAGAAAACAUAGAGCAAUGUAGAGAGAAAGAAAAUUUUUAAUUUGGUUCAAAGCAAAAGGAAAAGACGAUGAGCAAAAAACUAAAGCCAGCCAUGGUGGUACACACCUGUAUCAAAGCCCUUAGGAGGCAGAGGCAGGAGGAUAGGAGUUACUAUACAGUAAGUUCAAGGCCAGACUGAGGUAUGUAAGACCCUGUCUCAUUAAAAACAAAACAAGGGCCAGUGAGACGGUUCAGUGGAUAAAGGAAGGCAUAGCCAUCAAGCAUAAUGACCCGAGAUCAAUCCUCAGAAACUACACAUGGAAGGAAAGAACCAACUCCCACACGAUGCCCUCUGACCUCCACAUGCAUGCUGUGUGUGCACACACACACGGGAAAGAGGAGGAGGAGGACAGAACAGAACCAAGACACCCAGUGAACUUUGUGUGUGAUCUUCAAGUAGCUGCAUGUGGACAUAAGUGCAUGUGUGCAUGUGUGAGAGACAGGUCAGCCUUGGGUGCCAUUCCUCAGGAGCCGCCCACACCCACAUUUCUGAGAGUGUCUCUGACUGGGACAGGAGACUUGUAGUAGCUUACACUGGACCCUCCGUGUCUGCCUCUCUGUACUGGAGAAUUCAUCACUAUGCCUGGGUUUUCAUGUUGGUGCUUUAGAUUGAACUCAGGUCCUUAAGUCCACCAUGCCAACAUAUCACUAACUUGACCUCUCUCUGAAACACCUCCUAAUAAAUCUUUAAACAUAAUAGACAAAAACUAACCAACUACAGAAAUAAAUUCUCACUUAUGAAGAA